rnacentral:rRNA from 1 species
GAUAAACGCUGGCGGCGUGCCUAACACAUGCAAGUCGAACGGGGUUAAGUGAAAUUUUCGGAUGGAGCUUAACUUAGUGGCGGACGGGUGAGUAACGCGUGGAUAACCUGCCUCACACUGGGGGAUAGCAGCUGGAAAGAGUAGCUAAUACCGCAUACGAUCUGAGGAUGAAAGCGGGGGACCUUCGGGCCUCGCGCGAUUGGAGCGGCCGAUGGCAGAUUAGGUAGUUGGUGGGAUAAAAGCUUACCAAGCCGACGAUCUGUAGCUGGUCUGAGAGGACGACCAGCCACACUGGGACUGAGACACGGCCCAG